CGCGCAAGUGAGCAGUUCCGACGAAGAAGGUGUCGCGCUGCACGAAGGUUUUAGCUAGGGUUCGAAAAUUUUGCAAAGUUAGGCACAAGAGUAGGGAGUUGCUAGUGGGUAAAUGCAGUGAAUCUCGUCUAAUAUAAUACGGAACUUGUCAAGCAUCAGCAAAUUUGAAUUAACUUGAUGGAGAGUUCUGAAGAAGAAAAAGAUGCUGUUUCUGGGGCUCAUGCUAUACCCUUGGAAUUGAGCCGUUUAGCAUC